GACGAACGCUGGCGGCGUGCUUAACACAUGCAAGUCGAACGGAAAGGCCCUGCUUGCAGGGUACUCGAGUGGCGAACGGGUGAGUAACACGUGGGUGAUCUGCCCUGCACUUCGGGAUAAGCCUGGGAAACUGGGUCUAAUACCGGAUAGGAGCCAUUUUUAGUGUGAUGGUUGGAAAGUUUUUUCGGUGUAGGAUGAGCUCGCGGCCUAUCAGCUUGUUGGUGGGGUAAUGGCCUACCAAGGCGGCGACGGGUAGCCGGCCUGAGAGGGUGGACGGCCACAUUGGGACUGAGAUACGGCCCAGACUCCUACGGGAGGCAGCAGUGGGGAAUAUUGCACAAUGGGCGCAAGCCUGAUGCAGCGACGCCGCGUGGGGGAGGACGGCCUUCGGGUUGGAAACUCCUUUCGCUAGGGACGAAGCUUUUUGUGACGGUACCUAGAUAAGAAGCACCGGCUAACUACGUG
rnacentral:rRNA from 1 species